rnacentral:tRNA from 1 species
GGGGAUUUAGCUCAGCGGCAUAAGCGCCUGCCUUGCAAGCAGGCAGUCGUGAGAUCAAUCCCCG